GCCUACGGCCAUACCACCCUGAAAGCGCCCGACUCGUCUGAUCUCGGAACUAAGCAGGGACGGGCUUGGUUAGUACCUGGAUGGGAGACCGCCUGGGAAUACCAGGUGUUUGUAGGCU
rnacentral:rRNA from 1 species